rnacentral:rRNA from 1 species
GUAGGUGGCAAGCGUUGUCCGGAAUUAUUGGGCGUAAAGCGCGCGCAGGCGGUUCUUUAAGUCUGAUGUGAAAGCCCACGGCUCAACCGUGGAGGGUCAUUGGAAACUGGAGAACUUGAGUACAGAAGAGGAAAGCGGAAUUCCACGUGUAGCGGUGAAAUGCGUAGAGAUGUGGAGGAACACCAGUGGCGAAGGCGGCUUUCUGGUCUGUAACUGACGCUGAGGCGCGAAAGCGUGGAGAGCAAACAGGAUUAGAUACCCUGGUAGUCCACGCCGUAAACGAUGAGUGCUAAGUGUUAGGGGGGUUUUCCGCCCCCCUUAGUGCUGCAGCUAACGCAUUAAGCACUCCGCCUGGGAGUACGGCCGCAAGGCUG